UUUCAGCCAGUGCUUGCAUGGAGGAGUUUGACAUCUGAUCCUUCAUUUCCUGUUUGUUCAAAGAAAGAAGAAGUAUGUAAGCAUUGGAUUUGAGGCGACUUUCAGCUUCAGUUUGCUACCAAGCUGUCUAUACCCAGAAAGAUUUCUUUGUGAAGACAGUUAGACCCUGGAGGCUCCUACUCCCAGUGCAAACCAGUUUAGUUUCUAUAGUGCAGAUGAGCAAGGAGCCAGCAUGAUCCAGCAGGAGCUGACUGACCUUACCCACCAGCAGAGUUCUGAUGUCACCUGAAGACACACAGUUCUCCAAUGCUGUGCAGUGCUUUCAGCUGAACACGAGGGAAAAGGAAUAAUUUUGGAAGCCAGCCUGAGUAUGAGUGACUACACAGAAAUCCAAAUUCAUAUAACACAAUGAGCUUCUAAGCACAAAGCAUCUUAUAAUAUACCUUGUCAAAGGGAAUACAAAAGGGAAAUUCUCUUGCUGAACUCAUUUGCUGUUUGAGAAAAGCUGAAGUAAAUGCAAAAUUCAAUCCCUGAUAGUCCUGGUUCCUGCAAAAAAUUAGCUACCAGCAAGAGCUGCUACGUAGCUGUUUCUUACAGCUUAGGAACUGCAUGCCCCAACCUCCAAAGAACUCCAGAAAGGAUAUU